rnacentral:rRNA from 1 species
UGAACGCUAGCUACAGGCUUAACACAUGCAAGUCGAGGGGCAGCAUGAUCUAAGCUUGCUAGAUGAUGGCGACCGGCGCACGGGUGAGUAACGCGUAUCCAACCUUCCCUAUAGUAGAGGAUAGCCCGGCGAAAGUCGGAUUAAUACUCUAUGUUUUCCAAUGCAGACAUCUAAGUUGGAACAAAGGUUCACCGCUAUAGGGAUGGGGAUGCGUCUGAUUAGAUUGUAGGCGGGGUAACGGCCCACCUAGUCGACGAUCAGUAGGGGUUCUGAGAGGAAGGUCCCCCACAUUGGAACUGAGACACGGUCCAAACUCCUACGGGAGGCAGCAGUGAGGAAUAUUGGUCAAUGGGCGAGAGCCUGAACCAGCUUAAAAGUAGCGUGCAGGAUGACGGCCCUAUGGGUUGUAAACUGCUUUUAUACGGGGAUAAAGUGAGGGACGUGUCCCUUUUUGUAGGUACCGUAUGAAUAAGGACCGGCUAAUUCCGUGCCAGCAGCCGC